GAGAGGGAAAAAAACCAUGUCAUCUGGGCAGAGUCCAACUAUUCCUUUAUUCACAAAUGAGCAUCUACACAUACAAUAGGGAACUUGGCUAUUUGAUCCAUCUCACUUUUGGCCAAAGGAGAAAAGAUAUUUCUGUUAUACACUUAUUCAUCUCCCCUUCUAGAAUAGCAGCUUCCUUAAGGGAAAGGUCAUGCACUGUUUACCAUAGUAUAUGCAGUGCCUAGCGCAGGGCAUCAUAAGCACUUAGCUAAACUGAAUAAACACGUAAGUACUAACAAUAUUAGGGCUUAGGACAUUAUGUUCAAAUCUGCUCAAAACUUUUGAGCUUUGUUUGGCAAAAUUACAGUAGUUAAAUCAGAGUAAAGUGAAUCUCCUGCUUUCUUUCCCUGUGCUGGCCAGGAAAAUCCAAUCAAACCUAGCACAUUCUGUACUUGGAACUUGAGUUAAGCAUACCAGGUAUGGAAACUUCAGAAAUAAGGGCAGUACACACUACUACUUUUAAUAGUAUUUGCUCCAAACUCAACAGCUUUUGAUGUACUUAGACCAACACGCCAACAUGUUUUCAAAAACAUUCUCUUCCUAGCACAUCAGUCACAAGUAUUUUCCAAGUGUACUUUAUCUUGAUUUUCUACUGAUAUAUUUCACGUAUUAUUGACCAUAUCCAUACUCAUUAAAAAAACAAAAAAAGGCCGGGGUAAAGUGCAAUGUUCCAACAGAAUUCUACUUGGUUCAAUUUAUCAUCUACUACUUAAUUAAAAAUAAAUUUUCACUUCUCACCAAGUAGGAAGCACCUCUUCAAAUACUAUCAUCAGUUUUACAUUACGAAUUAAAGAUCUGAUUGGCUGGCAAGCCUACCACUAUAGAGAUAAGUCAAGCAGGAAAUUAUACGGCUAUAAAAUGAAUUGAAAGAUUUUAAGAGCAUAAUACAAUUUAUUGGCUAUGAAGCAAAACUAGCUUCAUGCAGAUAACUAAUAAAUCAAAGCUAUUUAUAAUUCAUAGUAUAAAAAAGUAUGGUUAAUAUUCCGAGUCAUAACUAAUUUUUUAAAUUACUUAAAUUUAACAAUUGGCGAGAUUUUUCUAAGCACCAUGAUAGACACAGAAAUGAAGGAGUUAUAAACAGCAAUCCCUACUCUUCAGAAAUGUAUAGUCUGGUGGGAAAGUUUUAUGGAAGCACUAGGAUAAUCAGGAAAUGACUCACAGACCCGUGCCUUGAAGGCUAAGAUUUUAACAGGCUAGGGAGACAAAGAAAAGAAGUCAUACAAAGGGGGCCCAGCGCGGUGGCUCAUGCCUGUAAUCCCAGCACUUUGGGAGGCUGAGGCGGACGGAUCACUUGAGGUCAGGAGCUGUAGACCAGCCUGGCCAACAUGGUGAAACCUCAUCUCUACUAAAAACACAAAAAUUAGCCGGGCAUGGCGGUGCACACCUGUAAUCCCAGCUACUGGUAGAAUUGCUUGAACCUGG
rnacentral:lncRNA from 1 species